GCCGGUGACGGUGGAGGAUCCUUGCCACUCUGAAUCUGUCCUCUCUGACCACGUUCAGCGUCUAUUCACAAAGGGCACUCCUGGGGCGUCCACCUGCUGCGCAGGCAAGAGCUUCUUCGUGACUCCUCCUUGCCGCCCUUCUCCAAAAUGGGGCAGUGCCGGUGAGCGCCCGAUCCUUCCGCGUGGGAACCAGUCAGGCUUUCAGAAUCUCAGCAGGUCUGCCCUUAACUGGAGGAACAGAGAGCCUCAUUGCGAGGGAGUGCAGAGAAGAUGAUUUCUUUCCCGGGCAACUUUGAGGAGUUGAAUUGGACUCUUUUUUCAUUACCAUAAUGGGAGAAACUAUUAAAGUUCAAGGGGACCCUGGACACAAAUUAGGUUUCUGAUCAAGCAAAGCAACUCCUGAAAUCCAUAUUGAAAGAAGAGAAGAG